CCCCCCCCCCCCCCCCCCCCUCCCCGGCCGCCGCUACGUCCCUGCAGCCAGCCACGCUGUCCCGGCUGCCGAUCCGCGUCCCCGGCCGCGACGCCGCUUCGUUCCCGGCUGCUGGUCUGCCCCAUCCCCGGCGGAUCCGAGCCGUCCGCGCCGUCUCGGCCGCUCCGUCCCCGGCGCUGUCCUCGCCUGGCUGCCGCUCCAUCCCCGGCGCCGCACCACUGCUCCGUCCAAGCCGCCGAUCCGCAUCCCCGACCACCGUCACUGCCGUCCAUGCCGCGCUGCCGCUCCAUCCCUGGUGGAUCCACGCCGGCCCGGCCGCCGAUCUGCGUCCCCGGAUCACCACUGCGUGCCGCCAAUGGUCGAGGCUUCUGGCGAUGGUCCAACGACCUCAACGUGCAGCUGGCACAAGUUAGUAAGCUGCUAUCCGUCAAUGAUGAGUUUCAGAUCGAUGGUACGAUUUUUCCAGAAAUGCUUUGCUUCUGAGCAACUUGAUUCAUUUAGUUUCUCAUGUGCAAGGACCAUCCGUCAUUUGUGUUGUAUGAAUAUUUGAAUUGUAAGUCCUGCUGAUAGUAGUAGAGGCAAGUGGAUCUUUUGUAAGUGAUCAAUUAGCUUUGCAUUAGACCUGUUAUUAUUUCGCUGAAAAAUUGCUAUAACAAUUAUUAAAUUAUGAAUCAGUUGGCUCAUAUCAGUUAAACUAGCAAGGUGGCCCGCGCAAAUAGCGCGGGUAGCUAGUUUUUUUUUUCUAAUCUCUAUAUUUUUCGAUAAUGUCGUUGUAAUUCGUUUUCCAAAUAGUUCAAAUUGAGGGUCAUCUAUAUCAUUUUACAUCAUUUAUAUUUUAUGAAAUAUUUUUGGAACAUGAAUUUAAGAGAAAAUAGAAUCUCUUAUGUACAAACAUAUAUUUUUAUAUUUUCAUUCUCAAGCUUUAAUAUUAUAUGUAUGAAUAUUUUUAAAAUUUUUGAUUGGCGGUGUAUACCAGUAAAAGCAAGUAGUCUUCUUUCUUUUCUUUAUUCUUCAAUUGCUGAUUCCAAAAGCUCGAUGUAUAUGACUAUUUCAUCUUUUUUGCGUCACUUGUCGUCCAUACGCGGUCUACAAAUUUAGUAUUACUGCUGGUAAGGUACAAACUUCUCCUUUAUGCUCACCACUCUUACACUGUUCGGCCGACUGCAAGCUGUUUGGGCUGAAUUCGGCUGGGCUGACACAGCCCAGCUGUUCGGCUGGAAGACAGCAGCCGUUCGGCUGGCCAACUUGCCAAUUAGUAGCCUCGAUCGCCGUCCGUCGCUCGCUCACUCAGUCCGGAUCCAAAAUGGAGUUCACGGCUCGCUCACACAGUCCACGGCGGAAUCAGCAAGCUGACUGCUCAUUGACUACGACGGGCUACAACACCUCCAAUCCAGACCAGUCGUAAGUUGACCAGCCGAACGCAGAGUCUGUAUAUUCGUCAUCACCCUCUUAGAAUUCGAGAAAUUUUAAAUUUUUUUCUCCUUUGUUCUCAUCAUAGUUGUUCCAUAUAAGAUACUACUGUUAAGCUGUGCUUCUCCACAGCCACUCCAAUGAUUUUUCAUGGUUGUUAUUAGCACGCUCUCUAAAUUGCACAAUGAUGGUCUGUAUGGUAGGUUUCAAAACCUUCAAAAAUAGUUUUAGCUUUGGUUUCAUUUAUAAAACUACUUUUUUGAGUCGAAGUUAUUUUUUUAAAAAAUAUUUAGCAAAUCAGCUUCUUAAUGAUAAUUUGGUAAUUCUAAGAAUAUUUUAGAGCUAAAGGAAAGAGGAUAAGUGGAUGAAGCCGCUUUUUAGCUGUUUCGCUCUUUUGUAAGUUAUUUUUGGCAAUCCAUGUGGGCUUAUUGUGUGAAGCCGUUUAAUCUUUUUAACUUAUUUGGUAGGAUUUCAUCUGAUGUUAAAGAAGUCCAGUCAAAUACACCCUAACAAUCACAAGGAUUACUUGUGAUAUCAUCAACAGCACUGGUGUUUGAGACAUUACCAAUAUGAACGCCAUGGUUGAGCCUCGACUUAGCUACUGAUCUAUGACGAUUGAUUCGUAAUGUAUUUCAAACUAUAUUGUAGAGUAAAGCUUGAUGUUAGAAGGUAGUAAUUACUAUAGCGUAGUUGAUGUACUCCACGAUACUGGACAAUUGGUGAAGCAAGCAGUACACAUACACAAAUGGACAUGUGCUUUUAUUUAACUAAUUUGCUUCCAAAUAUUAAUGGAAAUAAAACAUCAUUUUUCAUUAUAUAUUUUGUAAUAUAAUCAUAUAUUCAUUUGAUAUUUACAUGGAAUUUAUAUUUUUAAUUCCUUUCAAAUUCAAGUAAAAUAGUACAAUUUUUCUAUUUUUAGUUUUCAAGUUAACCCAUAUAUUAAAUAUAUUUAUAGAACUUUUUGCAUUAACCUAAACCAUUAGAUGAUUAUAAAAGUAACAUUGUAAAUAUUUAUCUAUUAUCUUGACGAUUCAACCCAUACUUUUGAAUGUAGCUUAAAUAAAUUUUCUCUAUAUGGAUUAUUCACACAUGUCAUUUUCUUUCCCAACUUAAAAUAAAUCAAAAUAUCUAUUUUUAUUAUUUUAUUUCCAAAUCUAGUUCUUUAUUAAUUGUAGUUCACAAAUACUUUUAUGUAGACAUUUUUUCCUAAAAUUCAUAUACAAAUUAACUGCUUUUUUAUUAUUUUUAUUCUAGAUUUAACUAUUUAUAAAUUAAAUUUGAUAUGAAGUAUUUAGUGAAUUUGUAGUUUCUUCUUAACUUUAAAUUUGUUAUUUAUUAGUUAUAUUUGACAUAUACAAUUUAUUAAACUAUUUUCCUUCCUAAUCGGUAUACAAACUAACUACUGAUAUAUUAUUUUUUAAAAUACAAAAUUUACUCAUUAGUCAUAUUAAAGAUGGUCUCUUCAGUCAAUUGCUAAUAUUUUUAUAUUUUUUGUUUGUACUCUUUUGUCAAUUGCUAUUUUCAUUUUUUAGUUCCUAAUUUAGCUAUUGGAUAUUCUAAUAUUAUUUUUCAUGGACUCUUUGGUCAAGCUGUUUCUAUUUUUUAAUUUUCGAAUUUAGCUAUUUAGUAAACAUAUUUGGCAAUUAUUAUGGUAUUUGAUAUAGAUUAUUUGUGUUAGCCUAAACAGGUAGAUCUUUAUAAAUGCAAUGGUAUAAAUUUUUAGUUUUCUAGAAUAACAUGCGAGUUUUAAUACAUUUUAGCAAAUGUGGUGGCUUUCUUUUAACGGUCCAUCGGUCCCUCGGCACUGUAGCCGAGAAGGACAGACGAUCUUGGGCGGGAUGGCUGGGUCAACCUUGACGACCUGCGGUGGCUUUCUUUUAACGGUCCCUCGGCACCACAACCGAGGAGGAUAGACGAUCUUGGGCGGGAUGGUUGGGUCGACCUUGAAGACUUGUGGUGGCUUUCUUGUAACGGUCCCUCAGUCCCUCGGCACCGUAGCCGAGGAGGACAGACGAUCUUGGACGGGAUGGCCGGGUCGACCUUAACGACCUGUGGUGGCUUUCUUUUAACGGAUCCUCAGUCCCUCGGCAUCAUGGCCGAGGAGGACAGACGAUCUUGGGCGGGAUGGCCGGGUCAACCAUAACGACCUGGGUCAGAUCGACAAUAAUGCUCGCUAAAGCUGGACACACCUAAGAGGUCACGCAGCGGGUUACCGGAUGGUGCCUUCAUGCCGCAUCCCGGGGGCCAAGGUCACUGGCAUUGAGCUGCACAUGUUGUUGUGCUUGAAUGCGCAGUAGCAACGUCAGCACCACCAUGUCGUGGGCGGCGAAGCCCUCUACCGCUCUACGUGCUUGCCAACUUUCUCCAUCCUGCUGCAUCUCUGUGGACGCAGAGAUGCCAUCGUCAGCAGCCGUUUUGCAGCACGCGAUUAUUGUUUUUCAAUGAACAAAUAACACAUUGGUUUACGUACCCAUACAUAGGUCUCGUGGCCUAAGAUUAUUCUCCGAAUGCUGGCGCCACCUAUAUUUUUUUUUAACUUGCUGGCACCACCUAGGGAUAAGGUGAGAAUGAAGAAAACUCGGAUUGAUCAUGAGCUGCGGCCACUGGGAAUUGGGCACCAUCUUUACAUUAGCCUGCCAGUGCCAGAGGUGAUGCAGGUGUGGCAAAGCGUGGUGAAGAUGAUCCUAAUGCAUACUCCUGUCUCGUACGCUCUCGGUGGAUGGACGACGAUCUCCUCAAUGGGUGCUAAUUAUUUUUAUUUUUAAAUUCCGAAUUUAGCUAUUAGCUAUUCUAAUCGUAUUCAUUAUGGACUCUUUGGUCAAGUAUUUUUUUUAAAUCCCGAAUUUAGAUAGUUACUUGUCAUAUUUGUUAAGGACUCUUUAGGUUAGUCUAUACUGUUAGAUCUUCAUAAAAUCCAAUGGUCCAAUUUUUUCUUUUUUCUAGAUUAAUGUGGGAAUUUCUAACCUCUCUCGGCGAACGUGGUGAUGAGAAUGAAGAAAACUCGGAUUGAUCAUGAGCUGCGGCCACUGGGAAUUGGGCACCAUCUUUACAUUAGCCUGCCAGUGCCAGAGGUGAUGCAGGUGUGGCAAAGCGUGGUGAAGAUGAUCCUAAUGCAUACUCCUAUCUCGUACGCUCUCGGUGGAUGGACGAUGAUCUCCUCAAUGGGAGCUAAUUAUUUUUAUUUUUAAAUUCCGAAUUUAGCUAUUAGCUAUUCUAAUCAUAUUCAUUAUGGACUCUUUGGUCAAGUAUUUUUUUAAAAUUCCGAAUUUAGAUAGUUACUUGUCAUAUUUGUUAAGGACUCUUUAGGUUAGUCUAGACCGUUAGAUCUUCAUAAAAUCCAAUGGUCCAAUUUUUUCUCUUUUCUAGAUUAAUGUAGCAAUUUCUAACCUCUCUCGGCGAAUGUGGUGACUUCUUCUAACACUCAAAUAUUUAUAUAAUAGAUACAUUUUCUUCACCAUGAGCAUGACUGGGAACAUGGAGCCUUGGUUUUUGACAAUGCAUGUCUUAGAAUUCAGAUAGUUGACUUCCAUCAUUUGAUUUGUCGAACUACUUUUGGAAUGCAAGUCCCGCUCAUAGUAGAGACAACUUGAUCUUUAUUGCAUUCAGUCAGCAAUCAAUUAGCUUUGCAUUUCAGAUUUCAGAUUGUAUGUCAACAUUCUUAUUCAAUUCCUACUGGUGUGCUGAAACAAGCAUGGGUCAUGGGUGUCAUGCCCAUAGCUACAAGCUAAGAUUCAGGUGGGAUUAUUGAUGUUUACUGCACCUACAUGGCUUGCGCUUCCGUUGUAAUAUAUAAUAAUUGGCAUUUGAAUGUCGUUUACUUCUAUACUAUUAUUAUGCACCUACAUAUGGCUUGUGCUUUCAUUUGAAUGUCAUUUUUAGAAUGGAGCAGUAAUCAGCUACUUCAAUACUAUAAUUGGCAUUCUUACUCUGAUUCAGUUGAAGGGAGUGACAUAAUUUAUUAACAUAUCCUUUCUUAUAUUGAUUUGCUGACAUGAUAUGCCAAUCAAUGUUUGCAUGUAGGCACCACAUCUUUACGGCUACAUAAUACAUAAUUUUGUUGCUGGACAACACCUCACUGUUUAAUUGUGGUUAUAUUUCAUAUCCUCGAUACUGAAUUAUUCCAGAGGGGAGCGAGCUUUCAGUUGAGGGAUAAACAUGCCAAGAUGCAGGAAGUGGUCUCGGUGCUAGAACCUAUGUAAGUCAACAAGUAACGUCCACUUAUGUCAUCUCCCAGUCUUAGAUUUUUGGUAUUGAUCAUCCUGGGAGAUUUCUGGUGAUCCCCUUUAGUUGUUAAGUUUGACCGCAACUACACAGUUCAAUUGAAUAUGAAGAGGGAACUAUAGGAUUUAGGGAACAAUCUGUAACUGACUUUGAUCGAAGCCUUUGCAAAAUAUAAAAGCCUUGGAACUUGGAAGAGUCGGGUUCAGUUUAGUUCAAAAUCCAAUAUAAAUGUACAUGUUUGUGGAAUUCUAUGUAUGUGUGAGAUGUGUACAAUAUCCUAUUUGUAAUGUAGGAGAUUUCAAUAGAUGGAGACUAUAUGGUUGAGCCCA